GAUGAAUGGAGGGAAGGAUGUGUGCAGCUGGUGGUGGCCGGAGUGUGCUGCCCAGAGGCCCUUUCUGCCUUCCCUUGCAGAGUAAACAUAAAGUUAAUGAGCAGCCAGGCUCCCUGCCCUCAGGGCACACAGUAGUUGAGCCAUCAAGGGAAGAAAUGGCCAUGAAUUAUUUAAGGAAACUCAGAGCACUUGAUUUUGUAGGAGAGAACUUUGAAUAGAAGAGGCUUUGCUCUCUGCAUUUGAUCUUCCCAGUGAAGAGCCUGGAGCAUCUUUGACCCUGGGUGAAGGCUGGGCCUCUGGCAAGUUUGGGGUUUUGAAGAAUUUUCUGCUGGUUCUCAACCUUGUUGGCAUGUUAAAAUCACCUAGGGAGCUGCAAAGUCCUGAUGUUCAGACUGCACCCCUGACUCAGAACCUCUGGGCACCGGGCCCGGGCCACACAUAAACCUCCUUGGGAUUUCGUGUAUAGUCAGGGUUGGGAACUACCGACCAAAGACCUUCACCCCUGCCUGCACCUUAGGAUCACCUGGAGAGCUUUAAAAAUCCCAUGUCUAGCCUCACCCCAGGCCAAUAAAUCCCAAUCCGAGCUUUUUUAAAAGUUCCUUCCACAAUUCUGUUGUGCACCUGGGGUCAGAAAACCACCAGGUUAGACCAGUGUCCAGCUGGGAUGGGCCGGGGAGGGUCAGACAGAUCGGACUGGGCACACCCCUGAGUGUCACGGCAGGAGACAAACAAGAAGAACAGGAAGAGCUUUGGUCACUUUGGCCUCCUCUGAGCUAGUGCUCUAAGUACCUCAUCUUAUUUAGCCCCCAUCUUACAGAUGACGAAACUGAGGGUCAGAAAGGCCCAAGGUCCAUAUAGCAACAAGUGUCAGAGCCAGGACACAAACACGGGUCCGACUCCAGAUCCAUUGGGCUGGCCUCUACUUACCAGCAGCCAAAUCACAGAGGGGCCUGGCUUGCCUGAAACCCCUCCCGCGAGUGCUCAGAUGGGGCUCCUGCAGGCGGCAAAGGAAGGAACAGCCAGCGCCAGGCACUGAGCCAGGCUUCGAAUAUCCUCUCCUUUAAUCCUCACAACCGACCCAGGAAUCAUUAUUCCCAUUUUAUAGAUGAGCAAAGUGAGUCUUCAUUAAAGUGAAAUAACUUGCCCAAGGUCAUCUAGCUCCUAAAUCGCAGAGCUGAGAUUCAAACCCAGGCCUCUCGCCACGCUGGGCUCACUGCCUAUGG
rnacentral:lncRNA from 1 species